ACCUCAUCAAGUAAACCCACCAUAAAUCAGACGAACCAACAUGUCAACACAUUAAGCCAAUACAGCCUAAUUCUAUCUCAAAAUAAUGUCAACAGUAGCCAACUAGUAUCCAGAGUCCCACAAAUUCAGUUAUUAAAGUUGGACACUCCUAGUCACAAAGUGAUUCAGGCAAGUUCUACUAAAUGCCCAAACAUAAAUUUCCUUCAGAGCAAAAUUUUAUUUUGGGCCAUCAAAGAAAUUUGUGAUGUUACAAAUUGCAGCUCAGCAACUACAGAUUAAAUAAACAAUUCACUCUUCAGAUAUUAUACAUUUCCUAUUUUUCUAAAAUCAUUAC
rnacentral:misc_RNA from 1 species